UGUACAGCAAUCUCCCAUGUAUUUUGUUCUCUAAUAGGCACCUGGAAGAGGGUAUGAUCAUGGCUGAAUUGUACAAGCCUGCUUCUAACUACAUUAAAACACAUUGCAGUAAUUUGGAACCAUGACUCUUUUUAAGCUGAAAAGAAGGAGAAAACAAACAAACAAACAAACAAACAAACAAAAAAACACCAAAAAGCCCACCCUCUUUUUUUUUUUUUUUUUUUUUCUUUUUUUUUUCUUCCUCCUGAUAAGAGAUUUUAGCUGGGCAUUACUGCCUGCUGGUUUGCUGAAGAAGCAGAGAUGCUGCCUCUGCCUUCCCCUCACCCCAUCUUGACACCUUCCAGCAGCCUGUUCAGCUGGGGCUUGCUGCUGGCACCACGGAGGCUGGCAGCUCAUCUACAGGAUGGGGACUUGCUGACAGUGAGACGAAAGCAAUGAGACUGUGGCCCCCAACCUGCCUCACCAGACAACCAGUGAAUAGUACAGCUUCUUCAGCAGCUGCACUGUGGUCUGGGCUGGAACCAAUAUUUAAGGUGCUGUGCAGAUGGAGACUACUGGACAUCCUUUGUACCUUACAGUUUGUAUUCAACAGCAACAGGACAGAAGAAGGACAGGAAACCAGGAGAGGCCAGAUGUUUUGUCCUGCUAUGUUAAGUCAUCUUGACAUACUGCCAUGA
rnacentral:lncRNA from 1 species